rnacentral:lncRNA from 1 species
UAAUCGAUUAUUCUUCCAGCUAAAUAAUAUUUUCUUCCGACAUCUUAUAUAUCGUAAAUAAUAAAUGAAAUAUUUAAGAUUCUCAAGUUAUAUGAAACACAUUGUACAUUUCACGUAUAUUUCAAAUACAUCACUGUUUGAAGUAAUAUUUUUCAUAUCUGCUUAAAAUUCAAUAUAGUUCUAUGGAUGUAUUAUUGAUAUAUGAAGUCUCUCUAUUGAAGUUUCACUAUUGAAGUCUUUCUAGAAAAUAUUCAGCUGUGAAUACAUAAAGAAAGAUACACAUAAUUUUCAAGAGCUUCUCUUUAUGACCUCGAUGAAUCUUCCUUGAGGUUGGUUGUCUUUCGAGAGCGACACUGAAAAUAUAAUACCGACGACAACCAGUCUAACAUGGAUCCUUUGUGGUCGUAGUGGGGUCGUAUUUCCCCGGUACAACGUUUAACCACUAGUCUUUUGGAUAGAAUGUCGAUAGACAGGACAUGGAUCAAAUGACGACAAUUUUGUUAGUUAAAUUAAUCGAGGAGAAUAUAUACAUAACGUCUUGAAAGAAUUAAAUCUCCUUUCAUUUGAUUAAUGAGAGAUGAAAUAUCGUAAUAAUAUGGAAUAAUGGAGGAUAUUAUAAGGAAGAUUAUAAUAAAAGAAGAGGUAAUUUUCCAGAGAUCCUCUACUAUUUGUAUCGUUGAAUUAAAAUUACAUAGUUAAGUGUGUUUAUUUAGGUCGUAUUAGACCAACAUCGUCAGUGGUUUAAACUUAAUUAUGGUUGGUCUGGUAUUAUAUCUAGUAAUAUUGAUAUAUAACGUAAUGACAUAACUCUGGAAUUAACUCUGGAAAUUACUCACGAGAGGGCAACUAACAAGUGACACUCCUGAGGGCGAUACUUCAAGUGUGCCAACAAUUUUUAUUCCUCGAUAUAUAUACUAAUCUCAGUCACAAUUACUUACCAACUUAAUCAUUAUACUUAAAAAAUGAUUUCAACGUCGAAGGAAAAUUCACACGAAUAAUAACCUAAAAGAAAAUACUUGGACAUAGACGGAGGACAUUUUUUUCAAGAUUUUCUUAACGGACGAAAAAAUUUAAACUAAACCCACAGCCACACCGAACGACAGCCGUCCUCGAAACGCUGCGCGCCUGGUCCUCUAAUUUUUCGUUUUAAUUCACAUCUAAUGGCAUCUUCUCCGCGCUCUCCAAUCCCAGCAAGUCGAGAGAGUGUGUCGUUGGCACUAUUUAUGCAAGCAACGGGAAUCUCCAGUCUACUCUCGGGAGUCGGGUACAGCUCGCAGCCGGCUACAAAGUUGAGUAUUCGAGAAACCACGUUUCGAAGUCGUUCUUGAGGACUUUUUUCAACAGAGGGAGGAGCGUAAGAUGUCAUUGGACGUGAUCUCGGGCGAAUAUCACCCACGAGGUUUUCAUACUUAUUUUUUUCACCAUGUCAUCGAAGAAAUACACGUGGUUCGAAGAUGAAGGAUUUACGGUGACGAAGAUAUGACAAGAAGAUAUAAAUAGAUGCGUGAUAUUUUAUUGUAAAGAUAUAGUAGAAGUAGAGUGAAUAUAAUAUAUAAUAUAUAAUCAGAAAUUAACAAAAUUUUAUAUCAUUUCAUAUCAUAAGGUAUCUCACUUAACUUAAAUAUCUCAAUAUCUUUAUUUUUUACGA